ensembl:snRNA U6 U6 spliceosomal RNA
GUGCUCACUUCAGCAGCACAUAUACUAAAAUUGGAACGAUACAGAGAAGCUUAGCAUGGCCCCUGUGCAAGGAUGACAAAAUUACAACACAUUUUACCAUGAUAU